GACAGAGGAGCCAAGCGUUGUCCGGACUGACUGGGCGUAAAGCGCACGCAGGCGGCGCUGUGCGUGGGGUGUGAAAGCUCUUGGCUUAACUGAGAGAGGCCAUCCCAUACGGCAGCGCUCGAGCGGUGCAGAGGUCCGCGGAAUUGCCGGUGUAGUGGUGAAAUGCGUAGAGAUCGGCAGGAACACCCAGGGGGAAACCAGCGGACUGGGCAUCGGCUGACGCUCAGGUGCGACAGCGUGGGGAGCAAACAGG
rnacentral:rRNA from 1 species